rnacentral:rRNA from 1 species
AGGACGAACGCUGGCGGCGUGCUUAACACAUGCAAGUCGAGCGGAAAGGCCCUUCGGGGUACUCGAGCGGCGAACGGGUGAGUAACACGUGGGUAACCCACCCUUGGUACCGGGAUAGCCCGAGGAAACUCGGAUUAAUACCGGAUGGCCCAACAGCUCUUCGGGGCGGUUGGAAAAGGUAGCUUCGGCCUCCGACCAAGGACGGGCCCGCGGCGGAUUAGCUUGUUGGUGAGGUAACGGCUCACCAAGGCGACGAUCCGUAGCUGGUCUGAGAGGACGAUCAGCCACACUGGGACUGAGACACGGCCCAGACUCCUACGGGAGGCAGCAGUGGGAAUCUUGCGCAAUGGGCGAAAGCCUGACGCAGCGACGCCGCGUGGGGAAGAAGGCUUUCGGGUUGUAAACCCCUUUCAGGAAGGACGAAGCCACUCGGGUUAAUAGCCCAGAGGGUGACGGUACUUCCAGAAGAAGCCCCGGCUAACUACGUGCCAGCAGCCGC